GAGUUUGAUCAUGGCUCAGAUUGAACGCUGGCGGCAGGCUUAACACAUGCAAGUCGAGCGGGCGAGGUUGCUUCGGUAACUGAGCUAGCGGCGGACGGGUGAGUAAUGCUUAGGAAUCUGCCUAUUAGUGGGGGACAACAUUCCGAAAGGAAUGCUAAUACCGCAUACGCCCUACGGGGGAAAGCAGGGGAUCUUCGGACCUUGCGCUAAUAGAUGAGCCUAAGUCAGAUUAGCUAGUUGGUGGGGUAAAGGCCUACCAAGGCGACGAUCUGUAGCGGGUCUGAGAGGAUGAUCCGCCACACUGGGACUGAGACACGGCCCAGACUCCUACGGGAGGCAGCAGUGGGGAAUAUUGGACAAUGGGCGCAAGCCUGAUCCAGCCAUGCCGCGUGUGUGAAGAAGGCCUUUUGGUUGUAAAGCACUUUAAGCGAGGAGGAGGCUACUUGGAUUAAUACCCUAGGAUAGUGGACGUUACUCGCAGAAUAAGCACCGGCUAACUCUGUGCCAGCAGCCGCGGUAAUACAGAGG
rnacentral:rRNA from 1 species